UUAAAUAGAAUUAAUAAUGUGUUAUUGCAAUUUAGCAAGACAAGUGGAGAUACAACUCCAAUACUGAAAAUACAUUAAAAAGAUAUCAUCUUAUAUCAAAACUUCGACCAGCUUUCUCUCCACCAUCAGCUCCAACACCUAUGAUUGAAAUACACAAAUACACCAAGGAAAAUAUACAUCUUCUGGUUAUCGUUUUCAUCUGGGCCUGGUGAAAAUUAAUUUUUAUUAUUUUAUUGAUGGUCUAGGCCUCGUCUUGCGAUUUGCUAGAUUUGAAGAUGGACCGAGGAAGUUAAAAUCACUCAUGGCUUUGUUAAACCUUCGAGAAAGGAGGAACAUGUAGUAGAACAAGAGAAACACACAGAGGUGGAUGAUGAACCCCAUCAACAUCCAUAUUGAACAGUCGGAAAUCUUCAGAGGCAAUGGAAGUGGCUAGCGCAGUUAAACUAUAAUUUCAAAGUAAACAAGUUUCCCAAGAGAAUUAAGUUGAAGGAAGAAAGAAAAAGGAAUGAAAAAAAGGAAAGACGGGGUGGAGUUAUUAUAGAAAAGUGCCUGCAAAGGAGGGAUUUACUAAAAGCGGAAAAGGAGUUAUGGGCCAUUAGGAAAAAAUCAAUUUCACCCCUUUAAAAUCCAACUGUCGCAGCUGACCCUCCAUAUUAUCCCCAAAACAAAAGAUGGUAUUAUGAUACCCGCUUAUCCCUGAAUUGUCACGGCAACAAUAAAAGAAGAGGAAGGAGAAGGUGAAUCCUAGUUCAAUCAAAAGCUUAUGACAAAUACGCCUACUCCUCCGGCUGGGACGAGGAUCUCCGACCAAGUGGUUCUGGAGGAAAGAGCAACUCUAAAUUUAGUUAAGAAUUACCACUACCGAUGACUUAUCCCUCACAUCAAGAGGGUUCCCCUUUGAGAGGAGGGCGUGCCUGAGCAAAUGUUGUAGCAAAAGCUGUUGCAAUGUUCUCAAGCUUUAAACCUUUGUCGUGAACCAACGCAUAUAGCCGUGAGUUUUCGGCAGCCUAGUUAGCCACCAAUUUAUCAGAAGAGGAUCCAGUUAAGAGGAGCCCACCACAAACUCUCCACCCAUCAAGCAACACAAGAGUUUACAUCGCACUGUUGACACUCAAGGAGGACUCGGUACAUCUCAGGCCCUAAGGGCGUUGCCCUUUAUCGUAUAAAAUUUUUGCACUCAUACAACCGAAACUUCCAACUCUAGUGGUUGCUUGGUCUGGCCAUGAGAUCAGUCCAAAAACUAAGACCAACUAAUUAAAGGGAGAAAAUAGGACAGCAAAAAU
rnacentral:lncRNA from 1 species